rnacentral:rRNA from 1 species
UACGUAGGGACCAAGCGUUGUCCGGAAUCAUUGGGCGUAAAGAGCGUGUAGGCGGCGGUGUUGGCCCGGCGUGAAAGCCCCCGGCUCAACCGGGGAGAGUCGUCGGGGACCGCACCGCUUGAGGGCGGUAGGGGCUGGUGGAAUGCCUGGUGUAGUGGUGAAAUGCGUAGAGAUCAGGCAGAACACCUGGGGCGAAGGCGGCCAGCUGGGCCGUCCCUGACGCUGAGGCGCGAAGGCGUGGGGAGCGAACGGG